UCAACUUGUGAACUGCAGGACACAUGAACAUCGACAUUUUGAACGCACAUUGCGGUCCUCGGAUACUGUUCCUGGACCACGCCUGGCUGAGGGUCGUC
rnacentral:rRNA from 3 species